AUUUAAACUUUAUACUUUUGUUGC
rnacentral:siRNA from 1 species